rfam:Firmicutes bacterium CAG:129 genomic scaffold, scf159
AACCACCCGCGGCGGCUACUCCACCCAAUAGCCGCCGUGAGGAACAUGAAAGGAUCGUUCCCGCCCUGACCGGCGGUGCGGCAGUGUGGAGACCUGCCGUAAAGCGCCCGAACGGCGCGAGGCCCUGCGCGCGGAGGCGGCAGAGCCGCGGUCAGAGAAUAUGGCA